rnacentral:rRNA from 1 species
AUUGAACGCUGGCGGCAGGCCUAACACAUGCAAGUCGAGCGGAGCGGCGGAAGGGUGAGUAAUGCCUAGGAAUCUGCCUGGUAGUGGGGGAUAACGUCCGGAAACGGGCGCUAAUACCGCAUACUAUCAGAUGAGCCUAGGUCGGAUUAGCUCGUUGGUGGGGUAAAGGCCUACCCAGGCGACGAUCCGUAACUGGUCUGAGAGGAGGAUCAGUCACACUGGAACUGAGAAACGGUCCAGACUCGUACGGGAGGCAGCAGUGGGGAAGAUUGUACAAUGGGCGAAAGCCUGAUCCAGCCAUGCCGCGUGUGGGAAGAAGGUCUUCGGGUUGUAAAGUACUUUCAGCGGGGAGGCGUUACCAGCAGAAUAAGCACCGGCUAACUCCGUGCCAGCAGCCGCGGUAAGUC